AACAAGGUUUCCGUAGGUGAACCUGCGGAAGGAUCAUUAUUGAAAUAAACCUGAUGAGUUGCUGCUGGUUCUCUAGGGAGCAUGUGCACGCUUGUCAUCUUUAUAUCUCCACCUGUGCACUUUUUGUAGUCCUGGAUAUCUCUCUGAAUGCUACCUAGCAUUCAGGUAUGAGGAUUGACUUUGUAGUCUCUCCUUGCAUUUCCAGGCCUAUGUUUUUUCAUAUACCCAUCCCCUGUUUAUAGAAUGUAAUAAAAUGGGCCUUUGUGCCUAUAAACCUUUAUACAACUUUCAGCAACGGAUCUCUUGGCUCUCGCAUCGAUGAAGAACGCAGCGAAAUGCGAUAAGUAAUGUGAAUUGCAGAAUUCAGUGAAUCAUCGAAUCUUUGAACGCACCUUGCGCUCCUUGGUAUUCCGAGGAGCAUGCCUGUUUGAGUGUCAUUAAUAUAUCAACCUCUUCAGAUUUUUUGUUUGUCGAGUGUUGGACGUGGGGGUUCUUUUGCUGGCCUUGAGGUCAGCUCCCCUGAAAUGCAUUAGCAGAACAUUUUGUUAACCUGUUCAUUGGUGUGAUAACUAUCUACGCUAUUGACAUGGAGCAACCAAGUUCAGCUUCCAACAGUCCAUUGAUUUGGACAAAUUUUUCAUUAAUGUGACCUCAAAUCAGGUAGGACUACCCGCUGAACUUA
rnacentral:rRNA from 1 species